UACAGAGGGUGCAAGCGUUAAUCGGAAUUACUGGGCGUAAAGCGUGCGUAGACGGUAGCGUAAGUCGGGUGUGAAAGCCCCGGGCUCAACCUGGGAAUUGCAUUCGAGACUGCUCUGCUAGGGUGCGGAAGAGGGAAGCGGAAUUUCCGGUGUAGCGGUGAAAUGCGUAGAUAUCGGAAGGAACACCAGUGGCGAAAGCGGCUUCCUGGUCCAGCACCGACGUUCAGGCACGAGAGCGUGGGGAGCAAACAGG
rnacentral:rRNA from 1 species